GAUGAACGCUGGCGGCGUGCCUAAUACAUGCAAGUCGAGCGAACAGACGAGGCGCUUGCUCCUCUGACGUUAGCGGCGGACGGGUGAGUAACACGUGGAUAACCUACCUAUAAGACUGGGAUAACUUCGGGACACCGGCGCUAAUACCGGAUAAUAUAUUGAACCGCAUGGUUCAAUAGUGAAAUACGGUUUUGCUGUCACUUAUCGAUGGAUCCGCGCCGCAUUAGCUAGUUGGUAAGGUAACGGCUUACCAAGGCGACGAUGCGUAGCCGACCUGAGAGGGUGAUCGGCCACACGGGAACUGGAACACGGUCCAGACUCCUACGGGAGGCAGCAGUAGGGAAUCUUCCGCAAUGGGCGAAAGCCUGACGGAGCAACGCCGCGUGAGUGAUGAAGGUCUUCGGAUCGUAAAACUCUGUUAUUAGGGAAGAACAAAUGUGUAAGUAACUAUGCACGUCUUGACGGUACCUAAUCAGAAAGCCACGGCUAACUACGUG
rnacentral:rRNA from 1 species